rnacentral:lncRNA from 1 species
AUGUAUUUGUAGGUUAUUAUCUAAAUCACCUAUGGAUCUUUUCUCCAAGUGCACCUUCCCUGUCUUCUGGAAUAAUCCUGAUAUGGGACAUUCUGGAUUUGCUUCCAGCUAUUACUGUUGACCAGAAGGGAAAAAUUGGUCAACCCUUGAAGAGGGUAUUGUUUUGUGAAGCAUCUUCCUCAGCUGAGGCCUCUGCAUGAUCUUUAGUACUCUGAAGAUCAGAUGAACUCAACUGAGAUUGGAGUUUUGAAAGCUGAGUAUUUUGUCAAACUCUCUGCUUCCUUAAUAGCCUUCAAGUAGCUAUAUAGUAUAUGCAACAGUUUUGGGCUAGUUGCCCUGGUUACACUUGUGCAUUUUGCCAGACUCUCAGAAAGAUGUGAUCCCUAAUUAACCUGAAAAUUAACAGGCUAAUGGCAAGGAUUUCACAACAACUCAGAAAGAGAGGCAGAAAAUAUCCUAGAAAAUGUAAAUCUGAGGUGACACUUGUAAACUUGCUG